rnacentral:tRNA from 1 species
GGCGGAAUGGCCGAGUGGUCCAAGGCGGUAGAUUUAAGCCCUACUCACGAAAGUGGCGCGUGUUCGAACCACGCUUCCGUCA